rnacentral:rRNA from 1 species
UUAAACGGCCGCGGUAUCCUAACCGUGCAAAGGUAGCAUAAUCACUUGUCCCCUAAAUAGGGACUAGAAUGAAUGGCUACAUGAGGACUAACCUGUCUCUUGCAUUCAAUCAAUGAAAUUGAUCUUUCAGUCCAAAAGCUGAAAUAACCCCAUAAGACGAGAAGACCCUGUGGAGCUUAUUAAACUAAACUCACUGCCAUGAACCCUUAGUUUUCAGUUGGGGCGACUUCGGAGCACAAAAAACCCUCCAAAUUAAUCCAACCAGAUUAACACAUCGACACCUACUUUGACCCAGUAGUUCUAAUCAUAUUACCUGAUCAAUGAAACAAGUUACCCCAGGGAUAACAGCGCCAUCCCCUUCAAGAGUCCCCAUCGACAGGGGGGUUUACGACCUCGAUGUUGGAUCAGGACACCCAAAUAGUGCACCCGCUAUUAACGGUUCGUUUGUUCAACGAUUAA